AGCCUGAACGCUGGCGGCGUGGCUAAGACAUGCAAGUCGCACGGGGUAGCAAUACCCAGUGGCGAACGGGAGAGUAAUGAAUCGCUAACGUACCCCGGACUCUGGGAUAGCUACCCGAAAGGGUAGGUAAUACCAGAUGAUAUAUUCCCUUGGCAUCUUGGGAAUCUCAAAGGUCCGCCGG
rnacentral:rRNA from 1 species